GCUGAUAUAACUCAGUCGUUAGAGCGCAUCCUUGAUAAGGGUGAAGCUCCUAGUUCGACUUUGGGUAUUAGCACCA
rnacentral:tRNA from 1 species